rnacentral:piRNA from 1 species
CCCAAGCCCAAUCACUAAGUUGCCAUAGC